rnacentral:lncRNA from 1 species
AUGUUAAAAGCAAGGAAGCGCUCAUCUAAAUAUCACCCUGGCACCUUCGGACUCGGCGGAGAAAAGGACGCUGACUUGGAGGCCUCGUACCUUCUAGCCAGCUCCACAAGCCUGGGGAACAGCUGUGACCAGAAAGAUCCGAUGACACGGUGCCGGUUGGCAGGAAACCCAGGCCCCGUCCCAAGCUUCAAAUCAAGGUCGAGGCUGCCUCCGGUCACACCGGCGUCCUGGGCCUCCAGCGGGGACAGCCACGCAUCCCGUGGCCCGGAAAAAGCUGCUCCCCCAUACGGCCCCUGUCCCUGGUCCCUGAAAUCCCCGUCAGACAUUCACUCUCCGCUCUCGAGGGCUCUCCUGCUUUCAGGAGUUUUCUAUUACCGCACAUCCUUAUGGGGUGAAUUCCUGUCUCAGAACAAGUGAGAGACGCCGGAAAGCAUGCGAGGACCGGAAAGCGGUCCGAGGCGCUCCACGGGCGGAAGGGCCGCACCAUAAAGACGAAUGACAGGGACGCCGUCAUGUCGUGGCAGGCCUCCCCCGGGCCAGAAAGAGGGGCUGCUGCAAGAAAGUCCAGGGCCAGAGCUGCCUCCGAACACACCGCGGAGAACUGGGCCCAGAAAGCGCAACCCGUUUGAGCUUUCGUGAUUUCAACCUUUUUAAUAACGCCUUUAAUAACGGGGAGAGCAAGACUGGUGUGUGCGGUCAGAGACGAAGCUGCGGAGCACAAGGGGGGAAGCCGGCGCUGCUAUCGGCUCCAGCCUGAGUCCGUCCUGUCCUGGGCAAGUGGAGGAGAGAAGUGGAAGGGGCGGGGGAGCCCGAGGGGGCCGUAUUCUAUGCAGGUCUGCUCCAGAAAGAGGCACUGCAUCAGGCCUGGGCCAGCAGAGCUGUGGGCAUGGAAGACUGAGGUCUGCCUCAGAACCCCUAGCGGGCUUGCUUUCACCCUCUGACUUUGCCACUUACUAGCUAUGGCCAGGAGCAGGUCCCUUCUUUCUGGAGUUUAGUUUCUUUGUCUAUAAAACAAGAAGAUUGGGGAGGGGGACGGUGCAGUCAGUGGCUCAUGGAUUGAAAGCCAGGUUCAAGAAUGGGAAGUACUGGGUUCAAAUUUGACCUCAGAUGCUUCCUAGCUAUGUGACCCUGGGCAAGUCAUUUAACUCCCAUUACCUAGUUCUUACUGCUCUUCUGCCAUGGAAUCAAUACACAGUAAUGAUUUGAAGAUGGAAGAUAAGGGUUUUUUAAGAGACAGACAGACAGAGGCAGAGACAAAGAGAGAGACAGACAAAGACAGAGACAGAGAGAGGAGAGAGAGACAGAAAGUGUGUAUAUAUAUAUGAGGAGAGAGAGAGAGAGAGAGAGAGAGAGAUUCUUUAUGAGAUGGUUGAUAAUGGAAAGCUGGGUGACACAUGAAGAAGUAUAUAGUGCAUGCCUGAACUGUGAUCUCUCACUAUGUAUGUACAUACCCUGUUAACAUGCCCUUUUUAUGGCUUGGCCAUUAGAGAGGAGAGGAGAGGGGAGGGCCUGCUGUUUGAAAGGACUAGAAGGGGGAAGGAUGUCAGACAGGGAAGCCAGAGAGAGCAGCUCCCUGACCUUGGCAUAGAAAGAAAACACCCUAAUAUAGAAGAAGUAACCACAAUCUGGAGACAGAAAAUCAAUUAACAGUUUAAGAGAGGAGUGUCAGCUACUGGAGACCGGAGGGGACUCAUAUGAAUAAUGGCACUAGGAGCCACCACUGGAAAAAUGGAGAAGUCAAAGUAUUGGUGGGUUUGUGGAGGGCUUCAAAUGUCGGGUUAAGCAAUUUGAACUUCAUCCUCCAGAAAAUUACAAAGUCUGCCAUUACCAUCUUUACCAUCAACCUCACCAUCAGCCCUAGUAGAGUAUAAACUCUGGAAAUUACUUCAUGUUGAUGAGACUGUAAAGUAGUAGAGAAAGCCCUGGUCCCAGAGACAUGAAGACCAGGCUUCAUUCAAAUUCUGCCUCUGCUACCUAAUGGCUAUGUCUCUGGAUGAGUUGCUUAACCCCUUCUGAGUUGGGAAUAUCAAACUCAAAUAGAAACGGGAGUCAUAGAAGGAUGUCUACCCCAAAUAUUGACUUAGAAAAUCACAUAGUAACAUUAUCUAUGUUCUAUUGUUUUUUAUUUAUUUUGUUAAAUAGUUUCCAUAUUUUCAUCUGUUUCCAGCAGCACUGCUGUGGGCCAUCUGGGACCUUCCACUAGGACAUUUGUCUUUUCCUUCCUCCCUCCCUCCCUCCCUCCCUCCCUCCCUCCCUUCCUCCUUUCUUUCUUUCUUUCUUUCUUUCUUUCUCUCUUUCUCUCUUUCUCUUUCUUUCUUUCUUUCUUUCUUUCUUUCUUUCUUUCUUUCUUUCUUUCUUUCUUUCUUUCUUUCUUUCUUUCUUUCUUUCCUUCUUUCCUUCUUUCUUUCCUUCUUUCUUUCUUUCUUUCUUUCUUUCCUUCUUUCUUUCUUUCUUUCUUUCUUUCUUUCUUUCUUUCUUUCUUUCUUUCUUUCUUUCUUUCUUUCUUUCUUUCUUUCUUUCUUUCUUUCUUUCUUUCUUUCUUUCUUUCUUUCUUUCUUUCUUUCUUUCUUUCUUUCUUUCUUUCUUUCUUUCUUUCUUUCUUUCUUUCCUUCUUUCCUUCUUUCUUCUCUCUGGGGCUACAGUCAGAAAGACCUGAAUUCAUAUAUGGAGCUCACAUACUUGAUAGCUAUGUGACCCUGGAUAAGUUACUUAACCCUGUUUCCCUCAGUUUCCAUCUGUAAAAUGAACUGGAAAAGGAAAUGGCAAAAUCACCCCAGUAUUUUGCCAAGAAAACCCCAAAUGGGGUCCCAAAGAGUCAGGAAUGAAAAAUGACUGACCAACAAUAUUCUGUAUAUACAAGUGAUUUUUCACCAGUAGAUUUAAGCUCCUUUAAUGUUUAACUGUUUUUCUCUUUGAAUCUCCAGCCUAACACAGAGACUGAACAUAGGUGCUUAAUGAAUGCUCAUUGAAUAAAUAAAAGAAUGAUUGAAUUGAGGACA